rnacentral:tRNA from 1 species
GCCGAGGUGGUGGAACUGGUAGACACGCAGCGUUGAGGGCGCUGUGCUCGUUAAGGGCGUAGGAGUUCGAGUCUCCUCCUCGGCACCA